rnacentral:rRNA from 1 species
UACGUAGGGCGCAAGCGUUAUCCGGAAUUAUUGGGCGUAAAGAGCUCGUAGGCGGUUUGUCGCGUCUGCCGUGAAAGUCCGGGGCUCAACUCCGGAUUUGCGGUGGGUACGGGCAGACUAGAGUGCGGUAGGGGAGACUGGAAUUCCUGGUGUAGCGGUGAAAUGCGUAGAUAUCAAGAGGAACACCUGAGGUGAAGACGGGUUGCUGGGCCAACACUGACGCUGAGGCGCGAAAGCCAGGGGAGCAAACGGG